GGCAGCGGUAGCUUAAUGGUUAAGAUGGUGGACUACUGAUUGGAAGGUCAUGAGUUCAAAUCCCAGCACUGCCA